GAGUUUGGUACUGAUGGCGCUCC
rnacentral:siRNA from 1 species